rnacentral:tRNA from 1 species
UUAGAGAGAUAGGAAUUGAACCUAUACCUUAGAGAUCAAAACUCCACGUAAUUCCAUUUUACAACUCCCUA